ACGCUCGACACCUACGGGAGGAGCAGUAGGGAAUCUUCCACAAUGGGCGCAAGCCUGAUGGAGCAACACCGCGUGAGUGAAGAAGGGUUUCGGCUCGUAAAGCUCUGUUGUUGGAGAAGAACGUGCGUGAGAGUAACUGUUCACGCAGUGACGGUAUCCAACCAGAAAGUCACGGCUAACUACGUACCAGCAGCCGCGGUAAUCUGAGCGGGCUGGCAAGGC
rnacentral:rRNA from 1 species